ACAGGUUAGGCUGGGCUGGGAGGUGACAGCAGUAGACAGGUUAGGCUGGGCUGGGAGGUGACAGCAGUAGACAGGUUAGGCUGGGCUGGGAGGUGACAGCAGUAGACAGGUUAGACAGGUUAGGCUGGGAGGUGACAGCUGUAGACAGGUUAUGCUGGGUUGGGAGGUGAUAACAGUAGACAGGUUAGACAGGUUGGGCUGGGCUGGGAGGUGACAGCAGUAGGCAGGUUAUGCUGGGUUGGGAGGUGAUAACAGUAGACAGGUUAGACAGGUUGGGCUGGGCUGGGAGGUGACAGCAGUAGGCAGGUUAUGCUGGGUUGGGAGGUGACAGCAGUAGACACGUUGGGUUAGGAGGUGACAGCAGUAGACAGGUUAUGCUGGGUUAGGAGGUGACAGCAGUAGACACGUUGGGUUAGGAGGUGACAGCAGUAGACAGGUUAUGUUGGGUUGGGAGGUGACAGCAGUAGACAGGUUGGGUUAGGAAGUGACAGCAGUAGACAGGUUAUGCUGGGUUGGGAGGUGACAGCAGUAGACAGGUUAUGCUGGGUUAGGAGGUGACAGCAGUAGACACAUUGGGGUAGGAGGUGACAGCAGUAGACAGGUUGGGUUGGGAGGUGACAGCAGUAGACAGGUUGGGUUGGGAGGUGAUAACAGUAGACAAGUUAUGCUGGGUUAGGAGGUGACAGCAGUAGACAGGUUGGGUUGGGAGGUGACAGCAGUAGACAGGUUGGGUUGGGAGGUGAUAACAGUAGACCAGUUAUGCUGGGUUAGGAGGUGACAGCAGUAGACAGGCUGGGUUGGGAGGUGAUAGCAGUAGACAGGUUAUGCUGGGUUAGGAAGUGACAGCAGUAGACAGGCUGGGUUGGGAGGUGAUAGCAGUAGACAGGUUAUGCUGGGUUAGGAGGUGACAGCAGUAGACGGGUUAUGUUGGGUUAGGAGGUGACAGCAGUAGACAGGUUGGGUUAGGAGGUGACAACAGUAGACAGGUUAUGCUGGGUUAGGAGGUGACAGCAGUAGACAGGUUAUGCUGGGUUAGGAGGUGACAGCAGUAGACAGGUUAUGCUGGGUUGGGAGGUGACAGCAGUAGACAGGUUAGGCUGGGUUAGGAGGUGACAGCAGUAGACAGGUUAUGCUGGGUUGGGAGGUGACAGCAGUAGACAGGUUAUGCUGGGUUAGGAGGUGACAGCAGUAGACAGGUUAUGCUGGGUUAGGAGGUGACAGCAGUAGACAUGUUAUGCUGGGUUAGGAGGUGACAGCAGUAGACAGGUUAUGCUGGGUUGGGAGGUGACAGCAGUA